GUUCCUAGCACUGUUUGAGUGAAAGGACGGUUUUGCCCUUUAUUUUUCGUGAUUUACGGCCUGCCACUGUGAAUAUGGAUUAGAAGGUUAUAGAAAUUUUAGUGUCUUCGGGAAGUCUCUAUGGACAUUCAUCCAGCUGUUUUGCAGCCUUGAACUCUCACCAGAUAGAAUUUUAGCCUUUUCGGGAAGCCUUGAUUGACAUCCAUCCUCACUAUUUCGCAGCAUCAAACUCUCAGAUACAAAGGUUAGGCUGAAAAAAUAUAGGAAAGGUUUGGUUUCAAGUCUCAUCUCCCAGAUGAGAAGAAGGGUGAGAGGUCUGGUGCUUCGUGCUCAAGCUCGAAGGUCGAAUCUUCCUUGCAUGGAUAAGCUCAGGGAUGAGCUUUCUUAAGAGAAUUGAGAUUGGGUACUUGCAUCUGAGGAAUCUCGGCAACAUUGGAAUGGUUUCAAGGGAUUGAGAUUGAUAGAACUUCAGAAUGGCAAUAAUGCACUGAACCUCAGGAAAGAUCCAAGAUUUUGGUCAAUUUUUGGAAGAAGCUUUAGCUUUGUUUAAAAGAAGUGGUUGCUAAAGUUUUGAUCCAAAACUGUUUCAUUCAGUUAUCUAAAAUUCUGCCCUUUGUUUUUUCUUUCAAACUUUGUGUAUUAGUAUAUUAACAUGUGAAUGAAAAUAAGUUGGCUGUAUAUUUCAAUUUUAA